rnacentral:lncRNA from 1 species
UAUAGUGUUUGGGCUGGAAGUAUUCUAUGUGCUUGAUCAAAUGGAAAACAAUAUUUUGCUUUCUUUGAAAAAGAAACUUGACAUAGCCCAUUAGUUAUUUAUUAGAAGGACUGAAUAACCCAAUAUUCAGUCCAAAGGCUCCCAGAGCAGCUCAAACAAUUUAAAACAACAAUAGCAAUAAAACUGAGAAUUAUUAAAAGCCAAAGGACAGCAGACUCAGCAUAAAAACAGAGCAGAGAGGCUAAAAGAUCUACAAGGUAGGUUCUAAAUGAUAUAGAUGUGAUAGGCCAUUUAAAAUAAGACUUUAAGUUUUAUGCUUUGUGCAGAAAGUCAAUAAGGAAUGGAGAGCACAUAAAAAGGCUUUUUGAAUCAGGUUAAUAAAUGAAAAUAGCUCCCUAACUAAUACCUCUCAUUCUUUCCCAAAUGAUAUAUCCCAUUGCUCAUGUUAAACUGAUUCUCACAUUUAAAACAAACCAAGAAAGCUGAAAAGCAUGAGAGAACCUUUCUUUGAGUCCUCUGGUGUCUGUCAGAUGUAUGUAGUGCCCAUCAUUCUCAAAAGUAAGCUUGGCAAACAGGAGGAUUGCAGUACUACACAUUCUGUACUCAGACGUAAGUCCCAUUAUUUGUAAUGGGGAUUACUCCCAGGUUAGUGGGUCCAUGAGCGGUUAUAGCAGGGGGUGCAUUACCCUAAUGGGAAACUGACCCUAAAGUGGGAGAGACCAGGCAUGCACACAACUGCACACCCUUAACAUAAACACACACAUACACACCCUUAACACAUACAGACACAAAGGGCCCUUCCGACAACCUUUUUAUGGUGCACUGGUGAUCAUAGAAUCAUAAAAUCAUAGAAUUAGAAAGUUGGAAGGGACCCCAAGGGUAAUGUAGUCCACCCCUCUGCAAAGUUGGAAUCUCAGCUAAAGCAUCCGUGACAAAUGGCCAUCCAACCUCUGCUUAAAAACCUCCAAGGAAGGAGAGUCCACCACCUCCUGAGGGAUUCCAUUCCACUAACAGCUCUUACCAUCAGAAAGUUCUUCCUGAUGGUUAGUUGGAAUCUUCUUUCUUGUAGCUUGAAUGCAUUUGUUCAGGACUUACCUUCCAGAGCAGGAGAAAACAAGCUUGUUCUCUCUUCCCUGUAUGUGACAGUCCUUGAGAUAUUUGAAGGUGGCUAUCAUAUCUCCUCUCAGUCCUCUCUCUUUUCCAGGCUAAACAUAUCCAGUUCCUUCAACUGUUCCUCAUAAGGCUUGAUUUCCAGACCCUUGAUCAUCUUGGUUGCCCUCCUCUGCACACAUUCCAGAAUUCCAGCCUCAGGAAGGAGCUCACCCCAUCGCCGGGAUUUGAACCGCCAACCUUCCAAUUGGCAAGCCCUAGGCUCAGUGGUUUAGACCACAGCUUAAAUUUCUCUUGAUUAGUGUGUGAAGAUCUGUUUGAUGUAGUCACUCAACUGAUGCUCAGUGCAGUCAGCCCUGACAAUACAGAUCAUUUGUUGGAGGCAGCAAAAAAGAAACCAUCACAGUUUCCUCACCUGCCCCCAGUUCAUCAGCAUUUGAAAUCUACGGCUCUGGCAAUCUGCUCAGAACUACAUAUCAAUCCAGUCUCGUAACAAUGUGUAUAUUGCAAGGCUGGGGGAGAAUAUGGGAAAUCAGGCUCUGGAAGAACAGGUGACCACCAGUAUGUAGCUCCUGGUCCACAAGCUGAGAUGUGAACGAGAGUGUGCUUCUUUCUGUCUGUGGAUUGUGUAUGUAUGAAGAAAUAGAAUGCUGUAUUGAACCGAGUUGCUUCCAUCUGAUAAAUAAUCAUACUCUGGUGAACAAUGGAUGCCAUGGAAAAAUGCAAAUGCAAGUCAGCAUGAAAUCUGAUGACCACGAGAUGCAACAGUAUAGCAGAUCUUAAAUGGAGACGAUUUCACAAGAUGCUUGAUUUAAAUGAAUACCAGUUAGCCAGAGCACAGGGAAAGACCACGGCAACACCUUUGCUAUUAAUCUCAACGUCCAGGUUCACAAUUCUAUCUUGAAGAACACCCUGUUCCAGAGUAUUAAGUGGAAUUAUCAGGCCUUUGACUAAAAUUAAUGAACACAAUGUGGGAUGUAGCGUGGAAAAAAGAGAUUAUCACAGCCCUUCAUUAGCCGUCUCAUUGUUAUGACCUUGAUCUGAGCUGGAUUUGAUUAUAUCACUGUCAUAAAAGGUCUGUCACCAUUUAAAAUAGAAAAUUUCAGGAUAAGGAUAGAAAUGUAUUACUAUUUUAGCAGAAACUAGCUGAGACAUGGAAAGAAAUGAGUAUACCGCAUAAAAUUAUAUUUAAUGACUAUGUAAAAAAAGAAAGAAGAAAGAAAAAUCCCAGAGGAGAACGCCUAUGAUUCAAAUCUUGGUUAGGAAGUAUAAUUCAAAUGCAGUGGAUGCCACAAAUCUCCUCCUCCCUCAUUUAUUUAAAUAUAUUAGCUGGAGAUUUUAAUGUCAUCCAGUAACAAUACUAAAUGUUAGGCUAUAAAAUCAACAAAUUGCAAAAAUAUAGAGAAGGCAAUAAAUAUCUAUACUAAAUAAUAAAAGCAACAAUUAAAUAUGAUGGAUUCAAGAUGUUUGCAAGGUAAUAAAAUUGAUGCGAGGAAUAAAUCUUCUAAGUUCAUUUAAAAAUGAAUGUUUUGUAAUCAUAAAAAGAUCAUGCACACAAGUACAGGCACUAAUAUGUGAAAAAAUAAUGAUUGGGUAUUUAAAUUCACUGUAUGCAAUGAGUGGCAAUGUUUUCAAAAUCUCAGUAGAAAAUGGAUGUGUGCACCAUGAAGCAUAGAGCAGCUCAUAAAAAGGCAACAUCUCUCUACUCCUCAAAACCAUUUCUCAAAAGAUGAGCUCAGAAACAUAAGUUGCACUGAUAUUCACACUAAAAUAUGCUUUCCAGCGAUUUUACUGUAGAAUUUACCAGUGAAUUGCAAGAAACUGCCAAUGAGUGUUAAAUAUAAUGGUUUAAUUGUACGUGGAAAUGGAAAAUGGCUCUUCAUGUGUAUUGCUAAAGGGAACAUGGAAAAUCCCACUGAAGCUAAGUGAGGCUCUCUGAGUGCCUGACAGGUUGAAAAUUAACUAAGAAUGUGCCUCUGCUAGCUCUCAUGUGGUAUUUACAGUAACCUUAGAUAACAUGAGUAAGAUAUUCAGUUGCAAAGCACCAUUUUGUGUGAGCUAGUCUUUGUUCUCAAGCCACUUGAGAGAAAGUGUGCUAAUGAUCUCUCUCCUGGAAAGAACACAGCCUCAGGAAGGUAAUGAUGUCUGUGUGGAGAGAGAGAGUUUUGAUUUCAGUUCUCUUUGAAGUAAUUUCAUUUUUUAAAGAUGUUGAACCUGUGCUUGGACAAGCACACAGUAUUUUAUGUAACUAUUUG